rnacentral:antisense_RNA from 1 species
UGUGCAGAAGUGCAUCAAGCUGAGGCCCUAGGACCUGCAGGGAUAAUCCAGGGGCUCAAGAAACACUGAUUGAAUGAAAUGAACAAAGAAAGAGCAAGCAAGCUAUGUAUUUCACUGGAACCUUUUACAUGAGACUCAGGUUUCAUUUUGAAGACACCCAGGUCAAUGUGUAGAUUAUCUUGACUCCGCCUCUUUAAAUAGAGCACAGAUUGUUAUAUGCAAGUUGCGUGCUAGUGUGUUUUAAGUAGAGAAACAAAAGGAGUGUCUUUACAUUAAUGUUUUCUUCAAAGAAGAUAGAGAUCACUCAGGAUGCUAGGUUUUUUUUUUUUUUUCACUUAUUUUGAGGAUCUUUACAAAGGAAAAUGGCUCUUUGAAAUCGCAAGGAUGAUGUAGCUAUCUGGUUGGGUUUGAUCCUGCCAGUUCCGCUAGGAGAAAUCUUACUUCAUAUUGGCUGAAUUGCUGACAUGAGUUUUAAAGAUAAAACAAUUUGAGAAAUUGAAAA